rnacentral:rRNA from 1 species
UACGGAGGGUGCAAGCGUUGUCCGGAUUUAUUGGGUUUAAAGGGUGCGUAGGCGGGUUUUUAAGUCAGUGGUGAAAGCCCACAGCUCAACUGUGGAACUGCCAUUGAUACUGAAGACCUUGAGUAUCGUUGAGGUAGGCGGAAUUUAUGGUGUAGCGGUGAAAUGCAUAGAUACCAUAAAGAACACCGAUAGCGUAGGCAGCUUACUAAACGAUAACUGACGCUGAGGCACGAAAGCAUGGGUAGCGAAC